GGCUGCAGGAGCCAUGAAUACACCACUGCACUUCAGCCUGGGCAACAGGGCAAGACCCUGUCUCUAAAAAGGGAAAGAGAGAGGAAAAAAUGAUCAAAAUUGCAUAUUUAGGAUGAUUACAAUGGCAAAAGAGUGUGUGUUGACUUUGAAGAACAAGACAAGGUUGCAAGUGGUGGAAACUGAUGCUUUCAAUAAUGAAGAAAUCAGUUUUAACAGAAAUUAACACGUCUUUUGAAAGGCAGCUGUCAGCAUACUUCCAAUUGAAUGUUUUGAGGACAUCCGGCUUUUAUAUUGACAUAAGCAUGAACCCACCCCAGAUCCCACGUGGAAGUUCUGAAGGUAUACCUCAGGCUCAGCUGUGAGCCCAGUUCUGGAGGCCAAAACUCCCAGAUCAAGGUCCUGUAGAGUUGGUUCCAGGUGGUUUCCUGAGAAGCUAAGGGGAGAGAAGACUUAGACGUUACUAGGAUUCAUUCUCCAAGACACUGUAGUCAGGCGGAGGUAAAGUCCUUGUGCAUAGCUUCGCAUACCUCCUUAGUCAAUACUGUGGCAGAUAAAGUGAUUGUUGAUUAGAUGUUUAGUUUUUAUGAUUACCUUUUUGGAGAGAAAUUAUUUUUUGGAGGAGAAAUUGUGUUCCUUUUCCAGCUUACCUUUUCCAACUUGUGUACUUUUAAAAAGCAAUGUUUGCAGUUUCUGCCACUCCAAUUUCAAUGAUAGAAUUUAUUUUAUAAUGUGUAUGAACUGGCAGCUUCUCAGAAAAAAGCAUUGUUUUGGGAAUGAAGUCAUCUGUUUGGAGAGCAAAGCCUCAAGUAUCAUGGAAGGGGCGGGAACCCAGUGCCCUCUGCCUGCUCAACCCUUUGGCACACAGAGCCCUUGUCAAAACCUGUUUCCAGAGGAACUGAAUUCUCUCUUGAAAUUACUUGGCAGUUGACAAGCUCUUCUCCCUGAGGGUCUGGAGUAACUCCUUUCAAGGGUCUUAUUUUAAGGCAGCUUGUCCCUGAUGGAGACUAAGAUCAUUGCCAGCUGAAGAAUUUACCAAUACUCUCAAGUUGGCUCACCUGACACAUUUUUAUAGUAAAGAUCAAGUUGUGUGUUUGUGAUUUGGGUUCUAUUUGAUGUCUUCAUCAUCUUAGAAAUAUGUAUGUCCUAAAGUCAAAACAAUAGCUGGCUUUUUGGGUUAUUUGCAGGAUAAUAUUGUAUCUGGAAACACAAUGUUGGCAGCCUUUGGGAGGUAUUCCUCACAUGGAUUUUCCCAAAUUGUGUAACUAUGUGUGGAGUAAAUAGCCAUUCAGUAUUAUAGACUCUGUUUUCUGACAGUGGCACAGUGGGGCUGGGGAAAGGAGAAGACUGGGCCUUCCUUUGACUUUGUAAGUCUUUGCUUUAAAAAAUCAUUUAAAAAAACACAAUAAAAGCUUAAUUUAAAAACGGAUGUCCAGGAUGAAUUGCUAGGUCAAAACUAACAAAAGUGGAAUUUAAUAUAAGUGUAAAAAUCCUGUGAUUAAGUUAAAAAAAUCAGCUUCCUAAAUAACUACCAGGUGGGGAAGCUCUUGAUUUUAUAGUCACAGUGAAUCUUUUUCUACUAAGGGAGGCCAACUUGCAUGACUUCUUCAGCCAGCCCCCAAGAACAGCCUCUCCUGGGCCAUGUGCAAACAAAGAAUAAUUUAAAUCUCAUUAGAGAAAAAAAGAUUAAACAGAACUCUUCAUUGUUGAAUGGUAUCCAUUAAUUAAGGGCAAAAGAGUAAAAGCAUUUUAACUAUACAGCUGAACUAACAAAAUUUGAUAUUUAGGCUAUUAAAACCUAAAAUCCAGGUCAAUCAUUGAAAAUAAAAUUGGACACAUACAGAAAGUAAAAACAUAACUGAGAAAAUACAAACGGAUACACAGAGAAAAGGAGAAGGCAUUGGGGCCCAUGGACAAUCUUUCUGAGCUAAGUAUAUUGGGGAAACGUAGGUCUCUUGAUUAAACCCAGGUUGUUUUUGGCAUUUCUGGGGGAUGAAAGAGGGGAAUGGGUUCCAUUAAGUUACGUGAUGGUGGCUGCAGCCAAUCAAAAGUAGGACCCAUUAGAAAGGCCCUGCUUAGCUCAUCUAGAACGGGCUUUUCACAUGCCGUGGUGCAUUACACUUUCAAGGCACCUUCACUUUCAUGAUCUCUUUUGCUCCUCCUGUCUUACAGAGGUGAUCACUGGAGGACUGAGAGCAAAAAUUGCUUCAAGUUCCCAGAGCCAAUUAGCAGCAGGGCUAGGUCCGGUCCCCUUGGCCCCUGUUUUUUUUUUUUUUUUUUUUUUUUUUUGAUUACCUCUCUUAGAA